AGUGAACGCUGGCGGCAGGCCUAACACAUGCAAGUCGAACGGCAGCACAAGAGAGCUUGCUCUCUGGGUGGCGAGUGGCGGACGGGUGAGGAAUGCAUCGGAAUCUGCCCAUUUGUGGGGGAUAACCUCGGGAAACCGGGACUAAUACCGCAUACGACCUACGGGUGAAAGCAGGGGAUCUUCGGACCUUGCGCAGAUGGAUGAGCCGAUGCCGGAUUAGCUAGUUGGAGGGGUAAAGGCCCACCAAGGCGACGAUCCGUAGCUGGUCUGAGAGGAUGAUCAGCCACACUGGGACUGAGACACGGCCCAGACUCCUACGGGAGGCAGCAGUGGGGAAUAUUGGACAAUGGGCGCAAGCCUGAUCCAGCCAUGCCGCGUGUGUGAAGAAGGCCUUCGGGUUGUAAAGCACUUUUGUUGGGAAAGAAAAGCAGCCGGUUAAUACCCGGUUGUCGUGACGGUACCCAAAGAAUAAGCACCGGCUAACUUCGUG
rnacentral:rRNA from 1 species